AACGAACGCUGGCGGCGUGCCUAACACAUGCAAGUCGAGCGAGAAAGUCCGCAAGGAUGAGUAAAGCGGCGCACGGGUGCGUAACACGUGGGUAAUCUUCCCUAGAGUCCGGAAUAACCUUCCGAAAGGAAAGCUAAUACCGGGUAAGACCACGAGGACUUCGGUUCUUGCGGGAAAAGGUGGCCUCUGCAUGCAAGCUAUCGCUUUAGGAUGAGCCCGCGGCCCAUCAGCUAGUGGCGGGGUAACGGCCCACCAAGGCUACGACGGGUAGCUGGUCUGAGAGGACGAUCAGCCACACUGGAACUGAGACACGGUCCAGACUCCUACGGGAGGCAGCAGUGGGGAAUCUUGCGCAAUGGGCGAAAGCCUGACGCAGCAACGCCGCGUGUGUGAUGAAGGUCUUCGGAUCGUAAAGCACUGUCGGGAGGGACGAAUAAGGUCUGGGCUAACAUCCCAGGACGAUGACGGUACCUCCAAAGGAAGCACCGGCUAACUCUGUGCCA
rnacentral:rRNA from 1 species